CCAAGAGAUCGAACUGCUUGUGCACGUUUGUCUGGUAAUCGGGUGCGAGUCAUGGAAACAGAGCAUGUCGAGAAUAAUGCCUCAGAGUUUCUAAGUGCCGAGUGUUCUGAGUCUAAAAAGUUGUCCCUCAUGCCUCUCGCCUAGGACUCCUUAUAUACUCGCUCCUAGGUCGGUUUAGGAUUUUCCCCUUCUAUCCUUAAGCCGUCAUAGCCUAAAAUGGAGAUAUUCCGUUUUUC
rnacentral:lncRNA from 1 species